UACGUAGGGUGCGAGCGUUAAUCGGAAUUACUGGGCGUAAAGCGUGCGCAGGCGGUUUGUAAGCCAGAUGUGAAAUCCCGGGCUUAACCUGGGAAUGGCAUUUGGGACUGCAAGGCUGGAGUGUGGCAGAGGAGACUGGAAUUCCUGGUGUAGCAGUGAAAUGCGUAGAUAUCAGGAGGAAUACCGAUGGCGAAGGCAGGUCUCUGGGCUGACACUGACGCUCAUGCACGAAAGCGUGGGGAGCAACAGG
rnacentral:rRNA from 1 species